CGCCACCACGCCCGGCUAAUUUUUUCUAUUUUUUAGUAGAGAUGGGGCUUCAUCGUGUUAGCAAGGAUGGUCUUGAUCUCCUGACCUCGUGAUCCGCCCGCCUCGGCCUCCCAAAGUGCUGGGAUUAGAGGCGUGGGCCACCGCGCCCGGCCCAUCCUGCUUUUCUUCAUUCUCCAUGGGUCAGGUUGUUUUCCUACAUAGUCUCAAUGCAAAACAAGAAUGAUAAUAGGCAUGUCUCAAGGUUGCUGUGUGGACCAGCUAAAGCCCUAUGUAAGAAAGCACUUCACAUACAGAAGAGGGGCCUACAAAUUUGAGAACUAGUCCAGCAUAUUCUGGUUGGGUUCACCUUCUCUCUGAUCAUCCACCAUUGGCCACCUUUGGGUGACAUCUCACGAGCUCUGAAGAAAUACUAACGAAAAAUGAAAAUUACCAUUCAAGAGAAUUACCAUUUCAAGAGUUGCUUUUGUUACAUGCCCUUACAUAUGCCAUGUGGAUGGAGUGCGAGGAGAAGCAGAGAGCAGUCGAAUUGCUCAGCGUUCCUCUAAAAAGGACACCAUCAAAAGAGGUGAAGGACCAGGACUUGAAUAUGUUCAUUGAAGACUCUUGUCAAUCAAAGAGAUCGAGAUUGCUGAGAGGCUUAUUCUCAGGGACGUGGGUCACCCCCAAAUCCACAUCCUUUUGGUGAUUGCAGGCUGCAUUGCCCAAUCUUGAUGUGCCUCCAGCUCAAAAGGCUCAUGGUUUCCUCAACCCUGCUGUUUAUUUCUCUCCCUUGUUACAUACUUUGUGUCUCUAUUCUGUCAUACUUCUUUUCCUCCUCAGCACCGAUUUUUAAUAGACUGUUACUCCUUUCUAGGAUACAUUUGAGUGACCAAAUUCAGGUAUGAAACAUAUUUCUUCCAUUGCCAACUUCUGUUUUCUCAAAUCCUCCUUUCACAUUUACAACUUAGCUGAAAUUUUCUGUCUACAUUCUCUUUUCUUGCCUUUGAACACUUCUCCUCCUCUGCUCCCCUCCCCAAUAGAAUCCAGCCUUUGAAAUGCUGCCCUACAGUAAUUGUUAAGCUAAUUUUCUCCCAAUUUUCUUAUGGUUUACUAGAAAGCCUUUUUUGAGUGGUGACAAAAAUUCAUAAAGCACAUUAUGCUAAGAGACAUUUGCAUAACUUGGUAUCCAUCAAUAAUUCAAAUGUUGAUAUAAAGCUAAGCAUAGACUUACCACAUGACUUAACAUUUACGCUUCUAGGUAUUCAUCCAACGGAUUUGAAAAAUUAUGCUCACACAAAAGCCUGCACAUGAAUGUUCAUAGCAGUUCUAUUCAUAUUUACCAAAAGCUGUGAGGAAUCAAGAAGUCCUUCAAAAGGCGAAUGGAGAAACAAUUGUGGUACCUCCAUACCAUGGAAUACUAUUCAGCAAUAGAAGUACACUAUCAAGCCAUGUAAAGAUAUGAAUGAAUCGUAAAUGAGCAUUGCUAAGUGCAAGAAGUUAGUCUUAGAAAGCUACAUACCAUAUCAUUCCAUUUAUAUUACAUUCUGGAAUAGAAAAAAAAAAAACUGUAGAAGCCAAAUCAGUGAUAGGCAGAGUUUUGGGGAGGAAGACGGAUUCAUUAGGUAAAGCACAGGUGAUUUCUUUCAAGCCUAUAAACCAUUCUGUACAGGACUGUAGUGGUGGAUACAUGACAUUAUUAACUUGUCAAAUCCCAUAUAACUUUAUAGUGCAAAGAAUUUACUGUAAUGUAGGCACAAUUAAAAAAAAAAUCAACCAGAAGAUCAGGAAAUCCAGAAUGGGAUGCAGACUGUAACUAAAUAAUCUGAUCAUAUUAUAAAUGUAUGAAAUAACCUCACUUAAGAGGGUAGGGACAAAGAAAUGCUGAUUUAAUUAACUUCAGUCAUUGGGUACAGUGUACACGGCUCAGGUGACAGGUGCACCAACAUCUCAGAAAUAACCACUUAUCCAUGUAACAAAAAACAACCUGUUCCCCAAAAGCUAUCGAAAUUUUUAAAAAAUCAAAGAAAAAAGUUAUGUAUCUAAAAAAAUAACUUUGGAAUGACUUUAAGACUAAUGACAAACUAUUAAGCUAGGUAAUUAUUGUACUCUAGUUGAUAAAGUUAUUUCUUAACAGGUGUGUGACUUCACAAUUAUGAAAACUCUGUACAUGUCUACUAAAAUUAAACAAAUAAAUAAAUGGAUGGUGGAUGAUGGGAGCUAAGUUUUUUACUGUUGAAAUGGGGUUAACACAUGUUAAAUAAAAUAGGCAGAAAGCCAUUGGCCUGAGGCUGCCUCUGUACAUUGAGUUCCAAAUAACAAACUACAACCUAACUUAGGAGUAUACGUUUUGUAACAGAUACCCAGGUCUCAGCCAAUCACAAGAAGUCAAGCUUCGGCCAAUCACAGGCAGCCAACUGACCAGAGCACAUCCAAAUAAGGCAACUGCAACCAAUCAAGCUAUCUCUGUGCUUUACUUCUGUGUUCAGCCUAUAAAAGCUCAUUGCCAAAACUGCAGAGCAGUGCUCUCUGAAUUCUCUUCUGAAAACUCCCUGUUCCCCCAAAACUACUGAAAUUAAAAAAGAAAAGAAAAAAAUUAUUAUGUAUUGAUAUGUUUGGUUGUGUCCCCACCCAAAAUCUCAUCUUGAAUUGUAA
rnacentral:lncRNA from 1 species